rnacentral:rRNA from 1 species
UACGUAGGGUGCAAGCGUUAAUCGGAAUUACUGGGCGUAAAGCGUGCGCAGGCGGUUAUGCAAGACAGAUGUGAAAUCCCCGGGCUCAACCUGGGAACUGCAUUUGUGACUGCAUGACUAGAGUGCGGCAGAGGGGGAUGGAAUUCCGCGUGUAGCAGUGAAAUGCGUAGAUAUGCGGAGGAACACCGAUGGCGAAGGCAGUCCCCUGGACCUGCACUGACGCUCAUGCACGAAAGCGUGGGGAGCAAACGGG